rnacentral:rRNA from 1 species
UCCUACGGGAGGCAGCAGGGAAUUUUCGUCAAUGGGCGCAAGCCUGAACGAGCAAUGCCGCGUGAACGAGGAAGGUCUUCGGAUCGUAAAGUUCUGUUGAAGGGGAAAAAGAGCGGAGAGAGGAAAUGGUCUCCGAUUGAUAUUACCCUUCGAGGAAGUCACGGCUAACUACGUGCCAGCAGCCGCGGUAAUACGUAGGUGGCGAGCGUUAUCCGGAAUGAUUGGGCGUAAAGGGUGCGUAGGCGGCCUGCUAAGUCUGGAGUGAAAGGUACCGGCUCAACCGGUACAGGCUCUGGAAACUGGCG